rnacentral:piRNA from 1 species
UCCCGAAGGUUAGUCCUCGAUGGUGGAGU